rnacentral:rRNA from 1 species
GAUGAACGCUAGCGACAGGCUUAACACAUGCAAGUCGAGGGGCAGCAUAAAAGUAGCAAUACUUUGGUGGCGACCGGCGCACGGGUGAGUAACGCGUAUGCAACCUACCUAUCAGAGGGGAAUAACCCGGCGAAAGUCGGACUAAUACCGCAUAAAACAGGGGCACCGCAUGGUGAUAUUUGUUAAAGAAAUUCGCUGAUAGAUGGGCAUGCGUUCCAUUAGGUAGUUGGUGAGGUAACGGCUCACCAAGCCGACGAUGGAUAGGGGAACUGAGAGGUUGGUCCCCCACACUGGUACUGAGACACGGACCAG